GCCGUGGAAGACACACUUGCUGCUGUAACAAGCAUGUAAGCAAAGCAAGAGUUUAUCGUGGAACUUAUUAGCUGGCUGAAGGUUUCAGAGGCACUUGAGAAAUUCUAUUGAACAGAGAACAUUUGGGAGAAGACCAUGUGUAGGAGCUUUCUCCUCAUAAUUCUGACUUCAUGUUUCUGCGGUUAGUUGAACCUCCAUGAGGACGCUGAUUUAGUACCUUUGUGAAUUUAUAUUUUACAUAAACAUUUAGUAAUGGUUAGAACGGUUGUUUUUAAUAGUUUAGCCAUCAUCAUUCCCAGAGGAAAAAUUGUGAUAAACUCGAACUUUUUUGUCUGUCAUCUUGCUAAUGCCAUGCAGUGGCUAAAAAAUUUAGCUAGCAUAGAAUAGCCCAGAUUUGAAUUUCCACUGCCUGCUAGGGUUGCCAACCGUCCCUUAAAAUACGGAAUCGUCCUGUAUUUCGAAACAAAAGUACACGUCCCGUAUUGAGCUAAUAAGGGACGCACUUUGUCCCGUAAUACAGUGAGAAUCAAAAGUAGUCUAUAAAUGUUAAUGGAAUUAACGCUUUGUUUGAAAACAUAAUUCCCAGCCCCUCUCCUGCUUUGUGACCAAUGAGCUGACAGCACACUUAUGACAAUUCGAGUAUGACAAUUCAGAUUACCGCUCAUCUCAUUGGUCAGGAAAGGUCGCUUACGGAGAAAAUACCGGAAGACAACAGAUGACCACAACAAGAAGCAUGGCCAACAGGGGAACAAACGCCGACACUGCGGUGCAAGUCUCGGACGACAGUACACCUAAAGCUGGGCAGACACUGUGCGAUUUUUUCAGUCGCGUUAUUCAGCUCCUGCUCAAACUGCACGAUUGACUCGCAGGGGUUAGAAGUUGGUAGGUCACGAUGCAGGGUCUCACACUAUACGGCCCGAUGCUCUGAUGCGACCUGAGUGCUCACACUGUGCCUCCAUAAAAUGAAGGUUAUAACAGGAAAUCUGUCGCUCGCUCACACAGACACACCACCACCAUCAACUUUGCUAAAUUGCUAAUGAAAAACAUGAUCAGGCAGCUGUGAUUUAGCAGCGAUGUAGAUCCAACUAUUUUCACGGUUGUUGUGGUCGUGAUAAUUUUGUGAUGCCACAUCGAAAAGGCUCGGAUGAGCUUUCCAAAGUUCUACAAGUUGUGCCUCCAUCGCUUGUGUCCAGAUCACACGCUGCACAGCCGUGCUGCUCCGUCUUUUUCACGGCGUUUACGUGUUUGCGCGCGAGCAGUGUGAGCGGCUCACGAGCGAUUGAUGAUCGGGAGCUGGUCGUGAGGUGUUAAUCACUUCUCGUUACCCCACGUAUACUACACGAUGCAUGAUGAAGGCCAAAAUCGGUCCGAUCACUCAAAAAUCGGCUCAAAAUGGGCCUAAAACCGCACAGUGUGAGCCCAGCAUUAGAGCAGCAAUGUUUGUUCCCCUCAGAGAAAGGGAAGAAUGGGAAAAGGAAAACACCUGGCUGGAAAAAGUUAAUAUGGGCAUGUGCAGUGAAUAUCAGCGCUAUGUGGCCAGAAGUGUGAUAAUAUAACUUAUUUUGUGUAAUAAACGACUGCAAGGAUAGAUGAUUACAACAAAUAGAUGACUAAUACAUAAAAGUAAUACAUAGAUGAAUAAUGAUGAUGAGUUAAGAUGCUUAAUCAUGGGAACAAGCGGGUUUUCAAACGGGAGCAGCUGAUUAGCAUUAGAAAAGCUGAAAUAAUACCUCAGCUGAAGCCAAUUGUACUAAAUGCACUAAAUGUGCACUGUUACAAGAAUAUUUUUCUUUCUAUUGUUUUCUAUUAUUUUAAGUUAAGCAGGACAGAGUUCUUUUAAAGAAAGAUUUACUUAUAUUCUCAAAAGUUAAGCAUGACAGGCUUCUGUUUAAGAAAGAGACUUGUUUUAUGUGUUAAUGUUGUCAUUUUGAGCUAAAAAUAAAUGGCUAAAUGAUCAUUUGUUUCACAUGUGUUCAUAUCACAAAGAAUAGAAUAUGCAUCUACUUAAAUCAAAUUCAAGUCAAAGGGUUAAAAAAAAUAAUUUCACACACAAAAAAAAGAGCUAGAAAAUUCACCACACUGGGAAGGGUGAAGACAACUGGGUCGCCCGGCCCUGGCCACGAGGUGUCCCUUAUUUAUUUUUCAGGGAGUUGGCAACCCUACUGCCUGCAGUUACCUGAGCUGAAGGUUUUCUUCAACAUGGACGAUAGUUCUGAUGAGCCUCAGCAUGAGCAGUUUGCUGGACGUGUUCAGUGUGACAAAGACGCUCUGACGACAGGACGAGUCAGACUUCAGCUGUCCAGAGUUAGGAGUAACGACUCGGGCCGCUACCUCUGCAGGAUGGCCACUCAGUUUGGAAAGAAGGUUAAAGAGUUCAGGCUCAACAUCACUGCAGCCACAGUGAAACCCAAGCCAGUGACAGCAACACGAGAACCAAACCGAAAACCUGAGAGAGGAGAAAGAAGCCUUUUUUCCAACUUGGCAUUGGGUGCAGGAUUGGCAGGAUGUCUGGCAGCCUUUGUCAUACCAAUCAUUUACCUCUUUACUCUAUACAGACAGGGGACAACUUAAAGUAUAAAACACAGUACACUCAGUCAUACAAUAGCUUCUGUAGACCUUGGUAGUGACUCUGCAGGGCUCUGGAACUUGGCUAGAGAUCGUCUGAUCACUGUCAGCGAGUUUAUUGGAUCUGGGUGAUUGUCCUCCUGGGAGAGACCAAUCUCAUCAGGAUGAAGACGAUUACUUAGAAAAACUGCAGUAACACUUCACUCUCAAGGAUUAAGUGGAAACAAAGAAUGGAAGCAAAGUGCCUGCUCAAGAAAGUGCAAUGAGGAACAUACAUGUUCUUCUGCUGCCCCCUGCUGCUCUGAAGAGAAAUGCAGGAGCUCAGUGACAAGCGCUGAGCAGGUCCUUCUGAGCUUUUGAAAAAGGUUGGACAUAAAUCACAGAAGUCUCUGAAUUCUCACAGUUUUCUACCUUAUUAGUGUUACAGCUGAAAUGUGAAUUUAAAAAAAGAGUAACAUCUAUAUUUAGUAAAAUAAGAGAAUACGGGUUUUUAAUGACCUUUUAUGUAUUGUUGAUAGUGACUCUGUUGUACUUUUAUUACUGGAUCUUAGUCCUGCAUUUGACACACUGGAAAAUAAGUUUGAUUUUCCAUGAUUAACAAUAAAAUGUAGAAAUCAUGUAGGAGAGUCAUGCCAGCAAUUAAAACCGCUUCCUGUAUCUCGUUAACCACACAAACACAAAUGAGGAAUACCUUACAAUAAUCAUCAAUCUUUCUUAGACUCAAACACAUGGAAAGAGUGAUCAGCAAUCAUUUUUGUCAUUUCAAGUCACAAUACCUAAAUUUUUAUUUUAUUGUUGUUAAGGAAAGAAAGUUUACCUCAUUUUUUCAUGUUAAUUUCAGUCAGGUUACGCUAUAAAAUUAGAUCACAGUCUUAAGAUAAUUGUGGAUCUGGGUCAUUGUCUGAAAACAGUUUUUUUUAAAAAUGAGGCUUGGGGGGAAAAUGUGACAGUGAUAUUGAGGCAAGUUGAGUCAGUGGCUGGAAUAUAACCCCAAAGAGUUUAUGUAGACUAUGUUCCUAGAAACGUCUGCGUUUAAGUGUUCAUUUCCAGUAUUCCACAGAAAAGCUAAAGAUGGCCAGACAGUGCAAAAGAUAAAGGCUUUGCAUUCUUAGAUGAUCUAAACAGAGCAGCAAUGCUCUGCAGCAAUUGAUGGAAGUGAAACUGAGCUCCAUACACAUAUUAGUCUUCCCAAGGGAGUAUGUAGUUGGUUCUGUUUGUUUUUCUGAUUGUUAGCAGUCUAGCUCGACAGUUGUCAGUAUUAUAUUAUAUCACAUUAUUUUGUGAUGGUAGAUACCAAUAAGUUUGAGUGGUUUUGAUUUUGGUGAAAAUGAGGUCAACAUAAAGAUCACACCAAAUGUGAAAAUCAGUAUAAAAGUUUAUGUUAUCCACAAUGUUUUAUGAAUUGUCUUCAAACUUCACAAUAUAAUAUGCUUCUGGGGACAUGAGUACCUAGGACACCUGAACAUUUGACCUGGACCCUUGUUAGCAGUCUACCAUGGAAAAAAAAACUUUAAAGAAACCACAAUGUCAUUAGAUAUAGUAUGAAAUAUCAUACGAAAGAACAUGGAGAGAGCUGCACAACACGCGUUAUUUUACGCUACCCAUUGCCUUUUGGGGGAGUGGUGUUCUGAGUCCUCUUGUCCAUCUUGUAGCUAACACACUAAAAUCACAAUUUAAUAUUUACUGAAAAUGUUUCUAUAGUAUGAACAGGAAACAAAUGUAUUUUUACCUUUAUUGAACUGAAGGCUCAAUAAAGUUUGAAAUUAUCUCAAGCCUUAAUGUGCAGUUUUAUUUACCCUUGUAGGGCCCAUUUUACCCCAACAUUGGGGCAAGUUGAGCCAUGUGCCUAAUGUUUUGAUAGGUCAUUGUUCUAAAAGCAAGGUGUUUGAUAACUGGACUGGUUCUUAUAUAGUUUCUUUGUCACUACUCAAAGAGUUUUAUCCAACUUGCCUCAUUCACAAAAGCACUUUUUUCCCUUUAAGCGCAGUUUAACAUUCACACUAAUGCAUCAGAGAGCAACUUGGGGUUACAUCUCUUGCACACUGCAGCCAGGGAUUGAACCACCAACCUUCCCAUUGUUAGAGGACCUGCUCUACCCAUGCUUUACAGAGUUCCUGUUUCACACAGUUAAUUGGCUGAGUUCCCUUUUUUGUUUACAUGGUCUGAAAAGGCAUCACUGUAUCACCAGCCCUGCAACUUUAGAAGCACACAUUACAGACAGGUUUCACUCUAUCCCACCUUUACCAGGUUUUGACAGAAACCUGGUAAAACACACAUAUUUGUGGUGAGACUCCGCAAGAGCCAUUUAAUUUGCGUAUUUUGACACUUGUCCACUUGUGUUGAAUUUUUGUAAUACACUUCUGUAUUUACAAACACUAUUAAAACAGUCUAUUUAAAAUCCACAGAUUGAAAGCAUACAUUCAGGAAGGCUGUGCAUUUAAAAGGCCAUAAGUAUUGUCCAAAGAAUCCAGUUGAUGGAUAAAACUUUGAUCAUGUUGUGAGGCAUAACAAACACCCCCCCCCCCCCCCCCCCCCAAAAAAAAGCCACCGUCCCCAUUGACACUUUAAAGUGAAAGGUGGGGCAUUCGUAAGAUUAGUGGCUGUUGCACCAAGCCUGGAAGUUCAUACGUGUCCAGCUGAUAGAGAUCACGUCCUCUAUCAUUAGGCAAAGGUUCUUGCUCUGUGCAGCUCUGGAAUAGCUUAUUUCGCCAUUCCCUCUUAAAUAAAGGUGCAUAAAACAAAGCACAGAUGGCCAGUAAGAUGGUUACAACUAGUGAUGGCCAAAUGAAGCUUUCCGAAGCACUGAAGCUUGUAUUGAAAAACGGUUCAUUACUCGAAGCUUUUCAACACAGUCCUCUCCGGUGACAUCUGGUGGUGAAAAUUUUGAAGAGCAGCUUGAAUCUGCAAAAUAAAACGGACUGCUCAAUUAUCACUGCUCACUCAAGAGUGGAGUUCUCUCUGAUAUUGGGCCACCGUUCCGUUGCUUUGAAGAUGUAAUUGGUUUGUUUUCUCGAUUGGGGGGCUGAAAAAAAUGUAAUGCGUAU
ensembl:lncRNA